rnacentral:rRNA from 1 species
GACGAACGCUGGCGGCGUGCUUAACACAUGCAAGUCGAACGGUGAAGCGCCUUCCUUUUUGGUUGGUGUGGAUGAGUGGCGAACGGGUGAGUAACACGUGAGUAACCUGCCCCCUUCUUCUGGAUAACCGCAUGAAAGUGUGGCUAAUACGGGAUAUUCUGGGUCUGUCGCAUGAUGGGUCUGGGAAAGAUAUUGUUUCGGUGGGGGAUGGGCUCGCGGCCUAUCAGCUUGUUGGUGGGGUGAUGGCCUACCAAGGCGGUGACGGGUAGCCGGCCUGAGAGGGUGGACGGUCACACUGGGACUGAGACACGGCCCAGACUCCUACGGGAGGCAGCAGUGGGGAAUAUUGCACAAUGGGCGCAAGCCUGAUGCAGCGACGCCGCGUGAGGGAUGGAGGCCUUCGGGUUGUGAACCUCUUUCGCCAGUGAAGCAGGCCUGCCUCGUUUGUGGGUGGGUUGACGGUAGCUGGAUAAGAAGCGCCGGCUAACUACGU